rnacentral:rRNA from 1 species
ACUCAAAUGAAUUGACGGGGGCCCGCACAAGCGGUGGAGCAUGUGGUUUAAUUCGACGCAACGCGAAGAACCUUACCCGGGCUUGAACAGCAAGUGAUCGACCAUGAAAGUGGUUUUCCGCAAGGACACUUGCAGAGGUGCUGCAUGGCUGUCGUCAGCUCGUGUCGUGAGAUGUUGGGUUAAGUCCCGCAACGAGCGCAACCCUUGUCCGCUGUUGCCAUCAGGUUAAGCUGGGCACUCUGCGGAGACUGCCGGUGACAAACCGGAGGAAGGUGGGGAUGACGUCAAGUCAGCAUGGCCUUUAUGUCCGGGGCUACACACGUGCUACAAUGGCCGAUACAAACCGCCGCAAACUCGCAAGAGUGAGCUAAUCGGAGAAAGUCGGUCUCAGUUCGGAUUGUAGGCUGCAACUCGCCUGCAUGAAGUCGGAAUCGCUAGUAAUCGCGGAUCAGCACGCCGCGGUGAAUACGUUCCCGGGCCUUGUACACACCGCCCGU